rnacentral:rRNA from 14 species
GUGAACAGCAGUUGGACAUGGGUUAGUCGAUCCUAAGGGGCAGGGAAGUUCCGCAUAACGUGCGCACUCGUGCGCCGCUCCCCGAAAGGGAAGCCGGUUAAUAUUCCGGCACCUGGAUGUGGAUUCUCCACGGCAACGUAACUGAAGGCGAAGACGUCGGCGGGGGCCCUGGGUAGAGUUCUCUUUUCUACUUAACGGUCCAUCACCCUGAAAUCGGUUUGUCCGGAGCUAGGGUUUAACGGCCGGUAGAGCCCCGCACCUUUGCGGGGUCCGGUGCGCCCCCGACGACCCUUGAAAAUUCGCCGGAAGGAAUAGUUUUCACGCCAGGUCGUACUCAUAACCGCAGCAGGUCUCCAAGGUGAACAGCCUC